CUUUACUGAAGGAAGAACAGGGACAGGGUUUGUCUGGUAUGAUUAGGGACUAGGAUGGUGUACGUGGAACAACUCCUGGUAAGACCAGGGUUGAAGUGAGAAGUGGAAUUGACACAGAGAGCAGGGGCCCGCCCUAUCCAAGAGGCAGCAGAAUGCGGGGACUGACAGCAAACAAGAACACAUCAGUGGAAAAGGAAAGUGUAGAAGAGAGGAAAAACAACGUGGAAGUGUUCUGAUGGGACGGAAGAAGAUCGGGCCAAGGAAAGAAGAAUGUUGUGAAGAUGCAAGCAGCCAAUUUGUGCUCCAUAAAAAGUAAAAUCCAGCAAGGAACUGAAUCCCUCAGACCCACAACUCACAAGAAACUGAAGCUGAAGCAGAUUCUUCCUCAGUCAAGCUUCAGCCUGAGAAUGAUGAAGAUGCUGGAAAACCGGCCCCGUCACACACCAAUGAAGCACGAAUAGCUGUGCCCAUCUCUCAGACAACUGGCUGAUGUCGGCAGCAGGAACUGAACUGAACAAACAGGGAGGAGAGUGACUUUGCUUCUCAUCAAAGGUUACAGAAUGAAGCCUGCAGCUCAGCUUUCCAUGAAGUCAUCUUUAUGGAUUUGGGGUUCUGUGGAACUGAUUAGUAGCUUUAAAUCCCCACUUGGCUUUGUCUUUGUAAGAAGAAAAUACCUAAUUGUGUCUCAGAUUCACAUUAACUUGGUCCAUAUCUAAUUGGAAAAAAUUUUUUGUUAUUCCACAGAAUCAUUGACUGUAAUAAUCCAUAGAUUCACCACAUCUAGGCUAUUAAAACCCACUCUACCAAACUCGGACAGCAUGACAAUUGUAGUUGAUUAAUACUGUGGUGCCAUUCUGAAUAAGCUUCCAAUCUUGUCCUAGUCAAAUUCAUUGCUUGCUACAUGGCUUUCCCGGUUAAUUCUGAAUUCAGCAAAGAGCUCCAAUGGGCUGAUGUUGAGCAGAGGUCAGCGGCUGCCAGAACUGUCAUACUUACUACUGUCUCCAUGAGCCAGACUGGAAAGGUACACAGAGCUGAGAGCUCAGGUAUACCCUGAUCCCACUAUCAGAUCUAACUGGGCUCCCACCAUCACCACCCUAUUGCAGAAAGAAAUCAUGAGUGACCACUCAGCUCAAGGCUUCUCUGCUGAUGCCAUCCAGUGAGUUUCCUGGCAGCCAUCUUUUUAUGAAAGAAUAGAGGUCAGCCUGACUGCACUUCCAGAUGAUUAGAGGUGAAUCCGCAGGAAAUUUAUGGUAGAC
ensembl:lncRNA MIR3976HG MIR3976 host gene